rnacentral:rRNA from 1 species
AUACGGAGGGUGCGAGCGUUAAUCGGAAUUACUGGGCGUAAAGCGUGCGUAGGCGGUUAAUUAAGUCAGAUGUGAAAGCCCUGGGCUCAACCUGGGAAUUGCAUUUGAUACUGGUUGACUUGAGUAUGGGAGAGGGAAGUGGAAUUUCCGGUGUAGCGGUGAAAUGCGUAGAUAUCGGAAGGAACACCAGUGGCGAAGGCGACUUCCUGGACCAUUACUGACGCUGAGGCACGAAAGCGUGGGGAGCAAACAGGAUUAGAAACCCUAGUAGUCC